UACGUAGGGGCGAGCGUUGUCCGGAGUUACUGGGCGUAAAGGGCAUGCAGGCGGUCCGACACGUUUUGUGUGACAGCGGGUGGCUUAACUACCCGAGGAUGCGAAAGACGGUUGGACUUGAGGACUCGAGAGGGACACGGAAUUCCGGGUGGAGUGGUGAAAUGCGUAGAGAUCCGGAGGAACACCGAAGGCGAAGGCAGUGUCCUGGCGAGUGACUGACGCUGAGGUGCGAAAGCCAGGGAGCGAACGGG
rnacentral:rRNA from 1 species